rnacentral:rRNA from 1 species
CCUACGGGUGGCAGCAGUGAGGAAUAUUGGUCAAUGGACGCAAGUCUGAACCAGCCAUGCAGCGUGCAGGAUGACGGCUCUAUGAGUUGUAAACUGCUUUUGUACGAGGGUAAACGCCGAUACGUGUAUCUUUCUGAAAGUAUCGUACGAAUACGGAUCGGCUAACUCCGUGCCAGCAGCCGCGGUAAUACGGAGGAUUCAAGCGUUAUCCGGAUUUAUUGGGUUUAAAGGGUGCGUAGGCCGUCGGUUAAGUUAGAGGUGAAAUCCCGGGGCUCAACUUCGGAACUGCCGCUGAUACUGUUCGGCUAGAGAGUAGUGGCGGUAGGCGGAAUGUGUGGUGUAGCGGUGAAAUGCUUAGAGAUCAUACAGAACACCGAUUGCGAAGGCAGCUUACCAAGCUACUUCUGACGUUGAGGCACGAAAGCGUGGGGAGCGAACAGGAUUAUAUACCCCGGUAGUC